rnacentral:rRNA from 1 species
ACGGAGGGUGCAAGCGUUAAUCGGAAUUACUGGGCGUAAAGCGCACGCAGGCGGUUUGUUAAGUCAGAUGUGAAAUCCCCGGGCUCAACCUGGGAACUGCAUCUGAUACUGGAAAGCUUGAGUAUCGUAGAGGGGGGUGGAAUUCCGGGUGUAGCGGUGAAAUGCGUAGAUAUCAGGAGGAACACCGGUGGCGAAGGCGACCCCCUGGGCCAGUACUGACGCUCAGGCACGAAAGCGUGGGGAGCAAACAG